CAAAUGUUAAGCAGGAGAAGAAGCACAACAUUUGAUUAGUUUGCUGCAAAGGAAGGCAAGGCUUUUGGGUCUUUGUCAAUGGUGAGAAAACAAUCAAGGUGAUCAAGACAGGAACUACUGCCAUGGCAACAAGGGCCAGCUGUCACCUCUGUCUGUGUUCCUGGUCUUCACUGGUUCACUGGCUGUAAUCUUCACCUCUCAACGGGAGACUGGAGACUAGAUCUCUGUCUCCACUCUGACCCAUGUGCCUGUCACUGCUGCAGACCUGGCGCCAGAAUAAAGUGAGAUCGGUGAGGGGGCAGUUGAAAUCGGGCACAAUUUGGGGGGAUUCUUGCAUUGGAAUGACAUUGAAUUCCGCUUAUCACGCUACACCCCAAUAAACAAAGUUCAAAUGCUGAGACGAAGAGAACAUUGAUUGAGUGCUUUUGAGGUGACAGGUAGGCUACAGAUUUCGCUGCAAUCUCCACUGCGCUGUAUCAGCACAACGGUCAGUGACCGAAACACUAAAGCAAGGCUGUUUUGGUAAUGAAUAUAAUGGACGGAUAGGGUAAUCGGAUAGGGUAAUUCACCUAUUACAAACAACCUAUGUGAAUGCAGCCGUGUUUUACCAAAAUAAUGCAAACAAUGUGCUGAAAGUCGUAGCCUAGUUAUUCAUGCAUGCAAACAAAAAUACUGAAUAGCCUUACUUGGUUUAGAAUACAGACACAACUGCGAAUGAAUGAAUGCAAACAAAACGGUGGUACCCAGUAGGCCUAGCAAACACAAUAUCAGAUUAUGUCAUGCAUUUAUCAAUCUAUAUUUAGGCUAGUUACAUUAACAGUAAAUAAAUGCAGUAAACAAAGGGUGACUGGAGAUACAGAUAAGUAAACUACAGUGAGAUGCAGCCUUGCACAGCUUUCUUGCCAAACAAAUAG